UACACAAGUGACUCAACAUUAAUAUUAACAAAAUCUAUUGUUAAAGGAUAAAACACUUGUAAAUCACAUAUUUACUUUCUUCAUUUUUAUUUGGUAUUAGCUUUUUAAACAAUCAUUUAUUUUAAUAAUUUUUAUCUACUGAUAUAAAGUGGGAGUGCCUAGGCUGAAAGGUAGGCGAGAGCCUGAUUGGAAAAGUCACAAGGAGAAGCUACAGAAGAAUUCCCAGCAGAAGUGCAGCACAAUCAGAGCUUAGGGAAUGGUGGCGUGAGGACAAACCAGAGAACAGCAAGCCUAGAUGUGAAGGACUGUAUAUUGCAAAUGGAAAAGUACCACUAAAAACAGCACCAUGGAAAACAUUGGCAGAGAAGCUGCUGAGUCUACCACUACUAAGGGAACUGAGUGACCAGAGGCAAAAGCUACAAAGGAAAAAAUAUACA